rnacentral:lncRNA from 1 species
UUUUUCUGAAGUGAGCGAUCAUUACAAGGGGGGGGGUUCACAAUAUGAUUUCAAAGCUUAAUUGUAUGUUAUUUAAUGCUUCUUGUUAUGUAACUGACUUUGUGUGUGUGAGCACUGUCUUCCCCCUAAGUGGUGGGGAGUUUAGCUCAAUGACAAUAGUAUAGCAAGUACAUUUAUUCAUUACUUAAGUAGGUGCCAGCUACUAUAUCAAGUCUUCUCUGCAGAUGUCAGGUCACUUAAUACUGUCUGCAGCUCUAAGAGGUUGGAAUUUUUACACCCACUGAGACUGAUGCUCAGGAAGCUUACAUAAUUUGCCCAAGAUCAGAAAGCUAUAGAAAGUGGUAGAAAGAGGCUUUGCACCCAGAUCUCUCCUACUUCAAAGCCACACCCUUAACCAGGCAGGUGAGUUAUCCAUGCCAUCUUCCCUCUCAGAUUGACUAAGGCAGAGAAUGGGUCCUCCAUAAAUACCUGGGUUAGAUUAAGACAUGCGACAUAGCAACCAGUACAACACAUCAGCCAGUGUGAACCUAGCACCCAGGGGUAUUAAUGUGCUCAGGGUUUGUUUUCUUAGAAACGGGAUACACCCUGCUGGCUCCUUCCCACAGGUAUCCUGAAAAAUAUUGCCUGUUCCAACGCAAAGGUAGUUACCCACCUGCCUGGUUCCCUUUACAGCUCUGAGAAGCUGGGGUGGAGUCCCCGGGACUCCGAUGCACUUGACUCGGGCCAGUUUCUGGGACUCUGAAGUCCACCUGCAGCAGGGGCCAGCCACUUGUGUGAUGCCCAGAUUCUCGGGGCAGUACUGCUUUGCACCCCCAACUGUGCCCCACACAGGUUUGCAGCCACUGAAGGGGGCCAUGGCAAUAGCUCUCUGAUGUGCACUGCAGAGGGGCAGGGCCCACCCCCACCCCUACCCCCACAAGGGUCCAGCCACGUGGAGGCCAGUGUUUACCAUCAAGACCGAGAGUGACCUUGACAAACAAGUUUUACUCUCUUACCAGCCUAGCGAGACUAGCUGAGAGAUGACUUGCUCAUGUCUGCCUGGCUGGCUUAGGACAGCAGGAUGUCCCAUUUGUUAAUCCAUAAGUGAAAAAAACACAUGAAUGAAUAAAUUCCACAACCCCUUAGUAUGGAGAACGAAGGCUAACAUCAGCAGAGUGCUUUCUCUGUGCCGGGAACUGGGUGUUCAGGGCUUUAUGUAAAGUUAUUUACUGUUUACAACAUCCCUGAAAGAAAUUACUAAGCACACACAAGUGUGGCUAUUUAUAUGUCUACCUCCAAAAAUACAAAUGGGAGCAAGUUACAUGCACUGGUCUGUACCUUUUUUUUUUUUUUUUUUUUUUCUUAAUUUGAACUAAUGUUAUAUCUGGAGGUCACGGUGCAGGUGGCAUUAUUAACCCACUUUCCAGAUGAGGAAAUGGCCACUCUCCAGGGCUGCCAUCAACCCCAGUGCUCCUAGAUCACUGCAUCUGCCUGCAGGUCCUGCAGUGGGAGCUUGCAGGAGCGGGAGAGAGAAGACGUGGGAAUGACCCGAGAGGCAGGAGACUGAGUUCCUGCCUUCAAUGGGCUCACUGCUUGGGGGAGCAAAGGAUGCUAUAUGACGUGAGGAAGCCCCCUGGAACAGUGCUCUUCCCCCGCCCCCACCCCAGGCCAGUUUCUGAAGUCAGUAGGUCUGGGCUGGGGAGGCGGGGUGGAGAAUUUGCAUUUCUAGAUGUUCUUCUUGCUGAUGCCUAUUUUGCUGGUGUGGAGGCCACUGGGGGAGGAGCAAUGACAUAGGGGGCUUCCUUGCUGGCGUCACUCCCACACGCAGGCUUGUUCCCUUCCAGAUGCUGAACACCUCAGGGUGCCAUGAAACGGUCUCUUGGUUAUGUUCUCACGUUGUUUGGAAAUCAUGCUCUCACUUCACAGAGCCCCAAAGACACAGGCACUUCACCUUGAGCAAGUUAUUUGCUGGGAAGGGACAUAGGACCAAUCUGUCUCAGGAUGGAGGCAGAACACUCCAAAUGCCCCUUCAUCUCUUCCCUGUGGCGGGGUGGUCAAUGGCCCUUCUGAAACCUGAACCCAGAAGACGUGUGCCUUCUUUCCCAUCUCUGUGACCUCCUGGGAGCCUUCCCCAUCAGCCUUGCUGAGGGAUCCGGAGGGACCCUCUCUGUCUCCCUCCCCAAGCUGUGCAGAGCUGGACGUGAUCUGCAGUGAGUUCCCUUACCCGGGCUAUUGUCUACAACACAGCCACUCUGCCCUCAUUCCUGGUGGGCCGACAAAGCAGCAGAAGAGAGACAGUUAGAAUUCUGGUCAUAAAGGCCUGGCAUCUGACUGCUUAAGCAGAGGGCAUGCUUUCUAAUAUUGCCAAGCAGAGAGAUGCUCACCCGCUUCUCCAGCGUGAAUGCAAUGAAACAACUCAAACACCUAAUAGGAGAGUUGAAAGUGAGGCAUCAGUCAAUAGGAGAAUGCUGUGGCAUCCCCUUUUAGAUUAAGAAGCAACCAGGUUGGCAUUCCCAUCCUGGUGCAGAGGAAAUGAAUCUGACUAGGAACCACCAGGUUGUGGGUUCGAUCCCUAGCCUUGCUCAGUGGGUUAAGGAUCCGGUGUUGCCGUGAGCUGUGGUGUAGGUUGCAGAUGCAGCUUGGAUCUGGCAUUGCUGUGGCUGUGGCACAGGCCAGCAGCUGUAGCUUCGAUUUGACCCCUAGCCUGGGAACCUCCAUAUGCUGUGGGUGUGGCUCUAAAAAGGAAAAGGGGGGGAAAAAAAAAGAAGCAACUAGGUCAUCAUUCUUCUGCCCUUUAUUUAUUUAUUUUUUCUUUUUGCCAUUUCUUGGGCCACUCCCGAGGCACAUGGAGGUUCCCAGGCUAGGGGUCGAAUCGGAGCUGGAGCCAAGGGCUACACCAGAGCCACAGCAAGGCAGGAUCUGAGCCACGUCUGCAACCUAUACCACAGGUCACGGCAAUGAUGGAUCCUUAACCCACUGAGUAAGGCCAAGGAUCGAACCCUCAACCUCAUGGUUCCUAGUCGGAUUCAUUAACCACUGAGCCACAACGGGAACUCCACAUUCUCCUGCUUUGAACGCUGCCAGCUGCUUGAAGGCAUAGGGGUAGGUUCAAGAGAGGGAAAGGCUGAGAAGGACCGAGAAGAGUGUGUGUGUGCAGCUCACUGACCUUCAUGGUCUUACCAGCCGGGCUGGGCAUCACCCAUGGACAAUGAAUGUGGGCUCUUACACAGGUGAUUAAAGGGCUUGUGACUCCAAUAAGACGGACUAAGUCCUGAAUAUAAAUAAGGAAUAUCAGUGGGCCAAGUGCAAGCAUUAGGAGCUUAGAGAAGACUGUCAGUGAGGGCUUGAGCAAGCAGACCUGUGUGAAGCAAUACUCAAGUGGAUCAAUCCCUGAAGGGAACAGGAAAGCGUGGAUUAAAACUGACUCUGGGGAAGUUCCCAUUGUGGCUCAGUGGUGACUAGUAUCCAUGAGGAUGUGGGUUCAAAUCCCUGGCCUCGCUUAGGGGGUUAAGGAUCUGGCGUUGCCAUAAGUGGCAGGGUAUGUAGGUUGCAGAGGAGGCUCUGAUCCUGCGUUGCCACGCCUGUGGUGUAGACCAGAGGCUGCAGCUCUGAUUCCACCCCUAGCCUGGGAACCUCUAUAUGCUGAAAGUGUGGCCCCGAAAAAAGCAAAAGAAAAGAAAAGCUGACUGUUAUGUGAGAAUGGGAGCCACCAAAGGUUUCUGAGCAGAAUGACAGGCAAAGGGAGUGCUAUUGGAAAACUUAUGUGGGUGGGACUAUAAGUGGGCGGCAGAGAAAGACAAGUAGAAUAUUUCCAUGGAAGGUCUAGGGGCAGGCAAUAUGGUAUACAGAUCACGUUUGGGAUCAGAAGGAACGGGGCUCAAAUCUGUGCUGAGCCACCCCAAGGUUCUCUAUCUGCAAAACGGGAUCCCAAGCGUGCCUAUCUCACCGGACCAUAAUGGUGAAAUGGAAUCACAGAGAAAAGAGCCUGGCAAACAUAGAAACCAGCCCCCUGUUAUCGCUCAGCAUCAUCACUGCUCUUGAGAGUUAGAACACAAGGUCUUAAACAGAUGGCGGCAACUGGAAUGCAAAGGUGGAUGCAUGUGAGAGGACAUGGAAGAAUGAACAAGACUUCUUUCUUCGGGCUGAACAGGGACCAGGAGCUCAGAGGUGGCGGUGGAAAUGCUAGACUUUGGAGGGAGAGCAUGAAGAAAAGAGCAGGGCACACCCCUGGGCCUUUGCCAUGUGUACAGGCGACAAGAAAGGCAGCUUCAAAGGAGCAGAGAAGGGGUGGGGUGACACGAUCACAAAAGCUAGGGGAAGAGAGGCAGAAGGGCAAGUUAGUGCUGUAUAAAUAUGUUUAGUUAGCUAUAAAUAUCAUUAAAAUGUAUUAUACCCCCCCCCAAACACACUGGAAGAAUAUAUUCCACAAUGUAGCUAUUGCUAGGCGGUGAGAAUUUUAGGGGAUUUUCAGUGUUUUUAAUGCACUCCUGCAGUAAGGUUUGAUUUAUUUAUUUUUUGCUCUUAACAGCUAAUACGUGAACAGCACAUACACUUGCCCAGCAUUGUUCUGAGAGCUUUAUAGAUAUUAACUUACUUCAUCCUCAAAACAACGCUGUGAGGUUACUACUGUUUUCCCCAGGUUGGGAUUAAAGGAACCGAGGGAGGCAGACGCGCGGAGCACAUGCAGCCAAGGUCAGAGCGAAGGUGAGCGGAGGAGCCAGCGUUGCAAUGCUGAUCCGGCAGCCUGGCUCCAGGGUCUGUGCGCUCAACCACAUGUGAUACUUUUAUGACUAAAAAAAAAAUCCCAGUAAUUGCUAUUCACAAAACCAGGAGGUGGGGCAGUUAUUCGUCACUUUACAGGGGGCAAAGGAAGGAGAGAGCAAACAAAGCUUGUGGGACUCAGUGACGGGGAGUUCCCGGGGGGCCCUGAGCGAGGGGUUUCCACUGGGAAGGGAAGGAAGGUGGGAGUGUAAGGGACCAAGAGAGAACUACUAAUUCAGGAACGUGGGUGGUGAGUGCAGGGGACUAUUUCGAGACAUGUGGCCGUGUGGUGAAGACAAGGAGCUGGAUGGGAACUUUUAGGGGCAGGAGGAUUGUUUGAAGAGACGGUUGGCAGCCCAUAUACUCAAACUGGAACGAUACAGAGAAGAUUAGCAUGGCCCCCUGUGCAGGCAUGACAUGCAAAUUCAUGAUGCGUUCCAUACUUUUAUGUACACCUGAGUCACUUUGCUGUUCAGCAGAAAUGAAUACAGCACUGUAAAUCACCUACAAUAAAAAAAAAAAAAAAAAA